rnacentral:misc_RNA from 1 species
UCACUACUUGCGUAGGCAGUUCCUUUAGAGUCCCCAGCAUUACCUGAUGGCAACUAAAGGUAGGGGUUGCGCUCGUUAUGGGACUUAACCCGACACCUCACGGCACGAGCUGACGACAACCAUGCAGCACCUCGUAGGAAGUCCCGAGGGAAGACCACGUUUCCGCAGCUGUCCUCCUACGUUCGAGCCCAGGUAAGGUUCCUCGCGUAUCAUCGAAUUAAACCACAUGCUCCUCCGCUUGUGCGGGCCCCCGUCAAUUCCUUUGAGUUUCAAUCUUGCGACCGUACUCCCCAGGUGGAACACUUAAUACUUUCGCUCAGACGCUGACUGUGUAUCGCCAACAUCGAGUGUUCAUCGUUUACAGCGUGGACUAC